rnacentral:rRNA from 1 species
GACGUAGGGCGCGAGCGUUGUCCGGAUUUAUUGGGCGUAAAGAGCUCGUAGGCGGCUUGUUGCGUCGGCUGUGAAAUCUCGUGGCUUAACUGCGGGCUUGCAGCUGAUACGGGCGGGCUGGAGUUCGGUAGGGGGGACUGGAAUUCCUGGUGUAGCGGUGAAAUGCGCAGAUAUCAGGAGGAACACCGGUGGCGAAGGCGGGUCUCUGGGCCGAUACUGACGCUGAGGAGCGAAAGCGUGGGGAGCGAACAGG